AAGAUACAACAUGAACAUGAGGGGUCCUGCUCAACUCCUUGGCCUGCUGCUGUUCUGGUUUUCAGGUGCAAGAUGUGACAUCCAGAUGACUCAAUCUCCAUCCUCAGUGUCUGCAUCCUUGGGAGACACAGUCACCAUCGCUUGCCUUGCCAGUCAGGGCAUUAGUAAUUCGUUAGCUUGGUAUCAGCAGAAACCAGGGACUACUCCUAAACUCCUGAUCUAUGGUGCAACAUACCUGCAGUCUGGAAUCCCAUCAAGGUUCAGUGGCAGUAGAUCUGGAACACAAUUCACUCUCACCAUCAGCAGCUUGGAGUCGGGAGAUGUUGGAACAUACUUUUGUCAACAGUAUUAUAGCUUUCCCCCACAUUGA